rnacentral:rRNA from 1 species
CCUACGGGAGGCAGCAGUAGGGAAUAUUGCUCAAUGGGCGAAACCCUGAAGCAGCAACGCCGCGUGGAGGAUGAAGGUUUUAGGAUUGUAAACUCCUUUUGUGAGAGAAGAUAAUGACGGUAUCUCACGAAUAAGCACCGGCGAACUUCGUGCCAGCAGCCGCGGUAAUACGGAGGGUGAAAGCGUGACUCGGAAUCACUGGGCGUAAAGAGUGCGCAGGCGGGCUUGUAAGUCAGAUGUGAAAUCCUGUAGCUUAACUAGAGAACUGCAUUUGAAACUUUGAGUCUUGAGUGUGGGAGAGGUAGGUGGAAUUCUUGGUGUAGGGGUAAAAUGCGUAGAUAUAAAGAAGAAUACUCAUUGCGAAGGCGACCUACUGGAACAUUACUGACGCUGAUGCACGAAAGCGUGGGGAGCAAACAGGAUUAGAUACCCGUGUAGUC